GACUUUUGAUUGGUUCAAUUUUUUGCACAGGAAAUUAUUUGAAAACAACAACUUUUGAAAAACAAGCUGGUUUCAGCAAUUGAAUUGAGCUAAAUUAAAUUAACAUUAAGACUUAUAAUUGUUCUGUAAAAUGUAUUGAAAUACUGUCAGCAUGAAGUAUUGUGUGAUGAAAACAAUGUGUAUUUUACUACAAUUUGGAAAUCAACAAUAAGUUUGUUGGAAAAGAAGUUCAACUGUUUUUUUUUGGAAUACUGAAGAACAGUUUUAACAGGUUAAACUCUUGCCCCAAGAGCAAAAGGGGUAAUCAUACUACCUGAUGUAUGGACUUUUACACCAGGCUUUUACCCUGCACGAGCUGGCCAACUUGAGGGGAACUGAAGUGGGCAAACCUCGCCCUGUCGUUGAACAAGAAAGCUGGAUUUGUUGAGAGAGUAUCAUUUAAGCUGAAAUCCAGCAUGAAACCAGGGAGGUGAUGGCCAUCGCACAGGCCAUGUGCCGACUAUUCACUUUCCACCAGCUUGUGACUUGCUCCAUGAAGGGAGCAACAACUACAAAGGGGUCACCAAGACCAAGCCUCCCCGCUGCUGAGAGAAAUGCAAUCAUUGAUGUCAUAGCCAAAACCUUUGACAAGCCUUCGGUUGAUGUUGAAGAAAAGAUGAGAGGUUGUUUAAGGCAUCUGCGGCUGAUGCACAAGUAGACUGAAGUCUUUGUAAAUAAAAUGUGCUGUUAAAAUGAUUAUUUAACCAUUGUUUUCACUUUGUUAUAUAGAUUUGCACCUGU